UCCCUGGUGGCUCAGCUGGUAAAGAAUCUGCCUGCAAUGCGGGAGACCUGGGUUCGAUCCCUGGUUUGGGAA
rnacentral:tRNA from 1 species